GAACAUAUGACAAAGAGUUAAUAUACAAAGACCCGACAAACGAUGCAGAAACAAUGACUCGCCUACAAAUACCUACGUGCGGCCCCCGCCAAAGCAACUCACGAAGGACACAGGAGACUCUGGGAGGACGCAGGUGCAGAGCAGGGUCCUGGGAGCACCGCCGCGCCUACGCACAGGUCCGGACCCACAGAUGAUGCCAUUAUAAGCUCACCUGCAUCCACGUGUGCACAACCUGCAUUCCUGAUUCAAGUGAAACUGAACUGUGACAUGAGCCCCUCGAGGUCCUGCUGCCCAUCCCCGGCCGUCCCUUCACCCGCUGUCGAGAUGCUCACUUCCAAGCUCCCAGCAGCUCCACCAGCUCGUUGCCUCGCUCUCAGCUGAUGACGGACUUCCCACAACAUGACGAGUAGCCUUAGAUGAAACUCGGUGCAUGUGCCAUUCGCAAGGCUGACUCUCAACCCAGCCACAGCC